rnacentral:rRNA from 1 species
GUCUACGGCCACGCCACCCUGAACAAGCCCGAGCCCAUCUGAUCUCAGAAGCUAAGCAGGGUCGGGCCUGGGUAGUACUUGGAUGGGAGACCACCUAGGAAGACCAGGUGCUAUAGGCA